GGGGGGGGGGGUUUAAGUGAUAAUUAAAAAACUUAAUUUCCAAACUUUCAUUACCAGGUUACAUGUGAUAAUUGCAACACUCAAUCUUCAAAAACAAAUAGAAUUUGAAUGUAUAUUUUGUAUAUGCGCGUUCUUUAACUACAGUCCAUGGCAUAUAUGUGGUAAGAAAAUGAUUCUGAAGAGGAUAUAUAUAAAUACAAUGUAAAUCUAUUUUCUUUAUUAACAUUUAUAAAUGAAAUUGAAAAUAUACAACUAAAUUUGUAUAGUCCUUUUUCUGAAAAAUAAUGAAAAUAAACAUGUGAUAAAUAAAUCAUUUGACGUGAAUUGUUAAGGAUAACCAUGAAAAAAGUAUGUGUCAAAAUAAAAAAUAAUAUUAUAAAACAGCUGUUCUCUAUGCCAAUAAAAGUUUCUUCCUUGCCAAUCUAAUGAAUUCAUCUAUAGGAAUGCUUGUCUAGAAUGGUCUGAAAAUAUAUUUAAUACACUUAUUAGUGGAAUAUUUACUAUAUUUAUACUAAUAUACAGGUAAUCAAAUAAAAAAUGUACAAAUCAUUUGGAAAUAAUUCACAGAAAUAAAGACACAUUUCAAACAUGAAUUUCUUUAAAAGUUUUUUAGCAAUCAAGAAACAUUUUUUUGCAAUGCCAUCAUUAAACCAUGUAAAAAAUAAUUAUCUUAUUCUGAAUCGCGGUAAUAAUUCGUGCUUGAAGUAAAAGGGCGGCGAAGUGUAGAGAGUAUGCCUAAACAAUAGGCGAGUAUUUUUUAAAUUAGGUAUUUUUUAACUAAGCGUUGCAGCGUUCUAUCAGCAUAUUUUCAUAUAUUAAUACUUUAGCGACACAAAAUAAUACUGCAUCAAUACAUUCAUAUGUGUAUAAUUUUUCACAAAGCUGCAAUAACACCACAUACUCCGGUGAAAAUCUGUCAUAUUUCGUACUCCGCGCGUUCCGCCAUCUCAUUCUGUCCACCUUUAUCCGAUUACGCGCAUGCGCACGACGGGACUUUAAGCUAAACGAAAGUGUCCGAUCCUUGUAAUAUAAAUCCGUGGUUUAAGUUAUAAUUGGACGACUUCUUCAUCAGUAAUUUAAAUUGAAACAGCAGGGUGUUAUAGAUAAAACUUUAUUACCCCUGUAUAAUAUUACACAAUUUGUAUUGUACACUUCCUUUGAAUAACUGGAUAUUGGUCAGGCGGCAAGUGUCAAACAAAUUGGCACGCCAACGGUUGUUCAUUCAACCGGGAAUUUUAUAAAAACCAUGAUAUAAUUAAUCAGUUACGCUUAUAUUAUUAAAAUGGUAAUUUAUGUAACGUUUAAAUAUACCGAUCAAUGUUUAUGGAUUUUGAGAAGGGACAAAUUGUGUGACGUGCAUUAUUAAAAAUAUCAUGUAUUACCACGGAUUUAUAUUAUGUAAUAUAAAUCGGUGGUAUUACGAAGAACCGGAUAAAAUGUGUGUUAUAUCUCUUCCAAACAACCAAUCUUAACUUCUCAAAAUUUUGAAAAAAAUAAUUAAUUAUUUAAAAUCUAUUUAUGUGACUUAAUUUUUUCUGUUUGCAUCACAGGCAAAUCGGAUAAAGGAUAUAUAUAAUCAGGUAUAUAUUGAACAUAUUGAAAAAUGCAUUAUCACCUGUUCUGAUAUUUUUUUUCAGAAUUAUAAUUAAUCUCGAUUUCAUGUUUUAAAAUUUCUUUUGUUUUUAUAUGAACUAUUUCAACAGCAAAUAAGUUGACUUUUCAUUUGCUAAUAGAUACAUUAAUUUACACAUCUUCUUUAAAAAAUGAUCUCAGCUAGUGUCAGGUCCGUGAUCGUAAAUUCUUAAACAAGUAUCUUUUCCAUGCCUUUUUAUGACAUUCUUCCCUCAAAGCUAUAAGACAUCUUUUCUAUAUUUGUUAAAAGCUUUUUCAUAUAAUUUUCUACCGUUUACCUUGAACUAACUCGGUAUUGUCUAUGAACUUCUACUAUAUUUCUAUGUUGGGCGAAGGAUUUUCUGCCCUACGCAGAUUGCGCAUGCGCGAGAAAAUUCUUAUUCGGGUCGAUUUUUCAUAGCAACGGACCGCGUCGUAAAAAGGUCUAUAUCGGCAUUCAAUAUUUAAGCCGAGCCAUGUAUUUUCUAAAUAAGUUGCCCACUAAAUACAACCAGACAUAAUUCAUCUCAUAUGGUGGGUGAAUAUGAGACGCAUUUGGCAUGACGUUUAUUCAAUAUUGCGAAUUCAAGCUAAUUUAACUUCUAAUGGUUCCAUUUAACUUUGCCACUAGGUGUGGGAAGAAGCCCUGCUUGGUUAGCACGAACAAGUUGUAAGUUUGUACCGGAAUAUGGUAUUGCUGUACUCCAGUCUAAUGUAUGGAUACUUUGAAAAUCUGUAUAUCGGCUGGGGCCAAAAGAAACUUGAAGUCGUUUUUUGAGACUGCACCACCCGAAAUGACUCUUACUGAAUUUCCAAGUGGACCGGAAAUAACAGAAGCAGGCGAUCCAACGUAGCGCUCCAAAAUAGGAACUUGAAGCUGAAUCGACGAUGACGACGAUGAUGAUAUUGUCGACGAUGAUGGUGAAGGGGAUGCACAGUUUGAUUAAAUAUCGUAUUCAUAUGUACAUGAAAUGUUUGCAAUGCGUCUACAAGAAGGGAACAGGGAUUAUUAAUAUGUUUACAUCGUUUUAAAAUUAGGAACAGGUGUAACAAGAACUACGUUUACAAGUUUAGUGCAUGGGACAAUAUGCAUUUUGUUUGAAUAAUAUCUGAGUAGUACAAAUAAAAUUUCAAUUUUGAAAAGAAAAUAAAAUAUACGUACUAUUUGGUGCUAUUGUCCAUUUUUUGAAUUAAAUCUACAAAUCGUUUGAAA